GACGAACGCUGGCGGCGUGCUUAACACAUGCAAGUCGAACGGAAAGGCCCUGCUUUUGUGGGGUGCUCGAGUGGCGAACGGGUGAGUAACACGUGAGUAACCUGCCCUUGACUUUGGGAUAACUUUAGGAAACUGGGGCUAAUACCGGAUAGGAGCUCCUGCUGCAUGGUGGGGGUUGGAAAGUUUCGGCGGUUGGGGAUGGACUCGCGGCUUAUCAGCUUCUUGGUGGGGUAGUGGCUUACCAAGGCUUUGACGGGUAGCCGGCCUGAGAGGGUGACCGGCCACAUUGGGACUACGAUACGGCCCAGACUCCUACGGGAGGCAGUGGUGGGGAAUAUUACACAAUGGGCGGAAGCCUGAUGCAGCAACGCCGCGUGCGGAAUGCCGGCCUUCGGGUUAUAAACCGCUUUCGCCUGUGACGAAGCGUGAGUGACGGUAAUGGGUAAGAAAGCACCGGCUAACUACGUG
rnacentral:rRNA from 1 species